CGGGAAUAGCCCAGAGAAAUUUGGAUUAAUACCCCAUAAUAUAUUUGAUAAGGCAUCUUAUUAAUAUUAAAAGCUUCGGCACUUGAUGAUGGGUGUGCGGCUGAUUAGAUAGUUGGCGGGGUAACGGCCCACCAAGUCUACGAUCAGUAGCUGAUGUGAGAGCAUGAUCAGCCACACGGGCACUGAGACACGGGCCCGACUCCUACGGGAGGCAGCAGUAAGGAAUAUUGGACAAUGGACGAAAGUCUGAUCCAGCCAUGCCGCGUGAAGGAUUAAGGUCCUCUGGAUUGUAAACUUCUUUUAUAUGGGACGAAAAAGGGCAUUCUUGUUCACUUGACGGUACCAUAUGAAUAAGCACCGGCUAACUCCGUG
rnacentral:rRNA from 1 species